rnacentral:rRNA from 1 species
UACGAAGGGGGGCUAGCGUUGCUCGGAAUCACUGGGCGUAAAAGCGCACGUAGGCGGAUUGUUAAGUCAGGGGUGAAAUCCUGGAGCUCAACUCCAGAACUGCCUUUAUACUGGCGAUCUUGAGUCCGGGAGAGGUGAGUGGAACUCCGAGUGUAGAGGUGAAAAUUCGUAGAUAUUCGGAAGAACACCAGUGGCGAAGGCGGCUCACUGGCCCGGUACUGGACGCUGAUGUGCGAAAGCGUGGGGAG